rnacentral:rRNA from 1 species
GACGAACGCUGGCGGCGUGCUUAACACAUGCAAGUCGAACGGAAAGGCCCUGCUUGCAGGGUACUCGAGUGGCGAACGGGUGAGUAACACGUGGGUGAUCUGCCCUGCACUUCGGGAUAAGCCUGGGAAACUGGGUCUAAUACCGGAUAGGAGCCAUUUUUAGUGUGAUGGUUGGAAAGUUUUUUCGGUGUAGGAUGAGCUCGCGGCCUAUCAGCUUGUUGGUGGGGUAAUGGCCUACCAAGGCGGCGACGGGUAGCCGGCCUGAGAGGGUGGACGGCCACAUUGGGACUGAGAUACGGCCCAGACUCCUACGGGAGGCAGCAGUGGGGAAUACUGCACAAUGGGCGCAAGCCUGAUGCAGCGACGCCGCGUGGGGGAGGACGGCCUUCGGGUUGUAAACUCCUUUCGCUAGGGACGAAGCUUUUUGUGACGGUACCUAGAUAAGAAGCACCGGCUAACUACGUG